GUACAGUUCAUCUUAGAUAGGAUCCGCACACACCUAGCUAGUUGGAAGGGCAGGCUGAUGCAUAUUGCCGGCCGUAGGGUGCUUGUCUGCUGCAUCCUCUCUGCCAUGCCGACGUUCGCUCUUACGGUGCUAAGGACGCCAAAGAAGUUUUUCAAGGAGGUAGGCAAAGCUAGGCGGCGUUUCCUGUGGGCACAAGAUGAAGAUGUGACGGGAGGAAAAUGCAAGGUCGCAUGGAGCGCGGUCACCACACCGGAGUCCCACGGCGGCAUCCGCAUUCAUGAUCUGGACAAGUUCGCGUGCGCCCUUCGGCUACGCUGGCUCUGGUUGUCCUGA
rnacentral:rRNA from 1 species